GAGAGGAGGAAGCCAUCGAUCGUGGCGCGGGUAAUCCAGGGCGGAGCAGGGCAGGGAGGCGACCACCACGGCAGUCCCACGGGCGCCAGCCGCGUCGUCUGCACCGACAAUGAAAGUCAGGGCAGAAGGUAUUUGGUAAGUCGAAACACUUCCUAUUGCUGUUAGUUCUGAAGACAUAGUUUGGUGCUAUGCAGCCACUCUAGGGGUUCAUACAACGAAGGCAUGUUUGUACGGGUAAUUUCAUCACAUUUUUUUACUUCCAGUUGUACGGAGUAUUUGCUAAGUCGAAACGCUUUCUAUUGCUGUUAGUUCUGAACACAUAUUUAGGUGCUAUGCAGGCACUCUAGGGGUUCAUACAACGAAGGCAUGUUUUGUUUAUUUCACCAGUCAGUUUAAAUCUUCACUGUACAUGUGCCAAGGUGCUUAUUUCUUAUAAUUUCUGUGCAAAGCUUGCUAUUUCUGUUAGGUAUCAGAAAGCUCAUAUAUCUCGAAUGGAACAGUUUAUGAGAGGAACAAAGAAGAAAGAACGCUGAUUUUUUUUCUUUUGAAUUGUCAUUUGUAUGCUUACAAUAUUAUACCAAAGUAUGUGUUUGAGUUAUGACAGGGUUUAUUCAAAUUAAUAGUUUUUCAUGUAAUACUAGACUGAAAAAAUGGUAAGCUACUAUCGUAUCUACUCCAUACAACUAAUGACUGACCUCUACAUUUGCUCACAACAUUACAGGGUCGAUGACUGAAUGAAAUGUGCUCAUCACGUACUUGAGUUGCACGAACGACAUUUGUUACAUAGGCGGCAAGACGUGUUGAGAGAGAGUAAACGUAUCUAAAAUUAAAUACAUUCUCCAUGUAUGGAUUUGCUAAGCCUUUCCAAGGUAUGCUCCUACAUAAUAAUAUAUGCAUUGCAUUUCAAUGAAAGACAUACCACAAUCUCCAAUGUUUUUUUUCUUGGUUAUUCAUCUUUUCGCAUUAUGCCAGACUCAGUUCGUAGAGUUCACAUUUUCCAUAAAGUAGGUUGGAGAUAUUACUGGCAAAGAUGAAUUGCUCCCUAUGGCCAAAGCUAGGUUCGUUCAGCUGUCCACCAGUAAACUAAAUACGAAAUAUUUUUGCUUCCAGGUUCAGUCCUUUGAACCAAAGACUAAUUCAACAGAGCGACCAGCCAUGGUAAACACGCCAACAUGCUCUCACCAAUACAACAGAGCAACCAACUGAACUACACCUGUGAACAAGGCCAAGCUUCACAAAAAAGGAAGAGUCUGUUUGCACCUGACAAUUUUCAAAGGAUAUGUCUUCAUGUCUUUCAGUUAUGUUUUCUCGGACGAAAAGAUUCAUUGAGCUACCGCAUAAUUUUCAAGUAACAAGGAUGAAAUGGGGCAACAAUAUAUAUCAGGUCUAUGUGGCGGCUGAAAUAGAACAGGAGCAUAUGUGAAUUGCUUACCUCCUCGACAACUGAGGUUGUCUCCAUCAACAACGCUCUCGACCCACAAAGCCCUGGCGAUGGCUGCGCCAAGCUCAACAUGCCCAUUGACCUACCACGCCACCUUUCACAGGGAUGAAAGACUAAGACUAUAACCGAAGCCGCAGGUUCCCUAUCAGCACUGAAGGUCCCCACUCAAGCAAGGAGCAAUGCCGUCCGCGGGACCCAUCCUCGCCACAGAAUGCCUCCAAAGAAGAUCAUAAGCAUUCCCUGAUCUGACGAAGAGGACAGCAAUGCAUCUUAUUGACGAGUUUGAUGCCGACUAUCUACAACAAAGUACAUCUAAUUUUGGUAAUCAGCUGCAUUGUCGUUUUGAAACACCAAGCUUUCCAUCCACUACAGAGCACCAUAUGCUGUCCUUUUGUCAUCUGAAUUUUGCUACUCAUAGAUAAUUGGUAGAUGGCACUAAGUAUCUAUGAAAGACUAGGAAUCAUGGAGUAUGUAAGUACAACAAAACCAAAGAAUGUACUAUGUAAUGCAUCUCUAUAUCUUACGAUGCUUUCUGUUUAUAUCCAUAUCAAUAAGCAAUCCUCUGCAAUGAUAUUUU